rnacentral:lncRNA from 1 species
UUUAACUUCCAAUGAGCAUAUUCAACCCUAAAAAUAAUACAUAUUGAAAAUGUUAAAAUAACACAUAUUAAAAAAAAUAUAUAGUAAAAAAUAUAAUACAUAUCGAUUUGUCAUCGUGUUACCCAAAUGUAGCACUCAAUUAAUCCAUGCUCCAACAAAUCUCUGUCUAUGUGGAGUCAACCAUGUGUCUUUCACGUAAUUAAUAAAUCCACUAAAAUUAACACAUGCAUGCUCAAGUUGAUGCAACCGUUGAUCAUACCCAACCUCAUCACUAGUCCAAACAACUUCCAUCCAUAAUGUGUUGAUCGUCUUUUGGAUGUAAUUCACCACAUACU